rnacentral:rRNA from 1 species
UACGUAGGGUGCGAGCGUUAAUCGGAAUUACUGGGCGUAAAGCGUGCGCAGGCGGUUUUGUAAGCCAGAUGUGAAAUCCCCGGGCUCAACCUGGGAAUGGCAUUUGGGACUGCAAGGCUUGAGUGCGGCAGAGGAGACUGGAAUUCCUGGUGUAGCAGUGAAAUGCGUAGAUAUCGUGAGGAACACCAGAGGCGAAGGCGGCUACCUGGACAAUUGCUGACGCUCAGGCACGAAAGCGUGGGGAGCAAACAGGG